AGUCACAGCUUCAGCCCGCGGAGGAGGAUCGGCUCCAGAGGCGCAUCAGCAGACAGUCACCUGAUGCAGGUCCUCUGGAAAGAUAGGAAUCCCCAUCAAGAAGGCCUGCUUGGCAUAAGGAGGGCACAGGAGAGGCAAACAGCAAGGGACUGCCCUUCUGCUACUGAAAGAGGAGGAAGAGAAGAAGGAUAAGAAGACAUAGGAAGAGCAUCUCAAUAGUAGAAGUUGUGGAGAAAGAAGGGCUCCAGAGAAGGGAAUCGCAUAUGGAAGGAAAAGAUGGUUCUCGGCUGAUUCCCUGCCUUGAACAGAAGGGAGGGGUGUACAGAGCCCCUCACUGGUAGGAUCCUGCAAAGACAAACAGGGCCAAGGAGGAGGAAAGAAUACAGUGAGCGGAAAGUGAUAGAAGAAUAAAUAAGUCAUCUACAUACAAACUUUCAGGUUGCCGUCCUUCAAAGAUACGAAUGUGGGUUCCAUCAGUGUCAGGUGUGAGUGAAGUUGCAGCCUGCCAUCUAUCACCUACUGCUGACAACUUUUCAGCUGUGCCAUCUCUCACCUCCCCGCCCUCCUCCAGUCAGUAACUCUUCUUGUCUGUUCACUCAGUGCCAAUCCCUGCUUGCCAGCUGUUGUAUUGCGCUACUGUACUUUUCAAGGUGAAAAGUUAAAGUGUUACUCACUCAGUCAUGUCUGACUCUUUCCAGCCCCAUGGACUGCAUCCCACCAGCUCCUCUGUCCAUGGGAUUCUCCAGGCAAGAAUGCUAGAAUGUGUUGCCAUUCCCUUCUCCAGGGGAUCUUCCUGACUCAGAGAUCAAACCCAGGUCUCCCACAAUGCAGGCAGAUUCUUUACUCUCUGAGCCACUGAGAAGCCCUUUUCAAGGUAUUAGAUUGUAAGAUUACACAUGUUUAUUUUCUGUUUGUUUUUAUGUGAUAUUUGUGUGAAAAGUACCAUAAAC
ensembl:lncRNA